rnacentral:rRNA from 1 species
UACGUAGGGUGCAAGCGUUGUCCGGAAUUAUUGGGCGUAAAGAGCUCGUAGGCGGCUUGUCGCGUCGACUGUGAAAAACCCGUGGCUCAACCAUGUGGUCUGCAGUCGAUACGGGCAGGCUAGAAUUCGGUAGGGGAGACUGGAAUUCCUGGUGUAGCGGUGAAAUGCGCAGAUAUCAGGAGGAACACCGGUGGCGAAGGCGGAUCUCUGGGCCAUUACUGACGCUGAGGAGCGAAAGCGUGGGGAGCGAACAGG